AGCGAACGCUGGCGGCAGGCCUAACACAUGCAAGUCGAACGGACCCUUCGGGGUUAGUGGCGGACGGGUGAGUAACACGUGGGAACGUGCCCUUUGGUUCGGAACAACUCAGGGAAACUUGAGCUAAUACCGAAUGUGCCCUUCGGGGGAAAGAUUUAUCGCCAUUGGAGCGGCCCGCGUCUGAUUAGCUAGUUGGUGGGGUAAUGGCCUACCAAGGCGACGAUCAGUAGCUGGUCUGAGAGGAUGAUCAGCCACAUUGGGACUGAGACACGGCCCAAACUCCUACAGGAGGCAGCAGUGGGGAAUCUUGCGCAAUGGGCGAAAGCCUGACGCAGCCAUGCCGCGUGAAUGAUGAAGGUCUUAGGAUUGUAAAAUUCUUUCACCGGGGACGAUAAUGACGGUACCCGGAGAAGAAGCCCCGGCUAACUUCGUGCCAGCCGCCGCCGUAAAAC
rnacentral:rRNA from 1 species